rnacentral:rRNA from 1 species
CUUGCUUUCUUUUGCUGGCGACCGGCGCACGGGUGAGUAACACGUAUCCAACCUGCCCUUUACCCGGGGAUAGCCUUUCGAAAGAAAGAUUAAUACCCGAUAGUAUAAUGAUUCCGCAUGGUUUCAUUAUUAAAGGAUUCCGGUAAAGGAUGGGGAUGCGUUCCAUUAGGUUGUUGGUGAGGUAACGGCUCACCAAGCCUUCGAUGGAUAGGGGUUCUGAGAGGAAGGUCCCCCACAUUGGAACUGAGACACGGUCCAA